rnacentral:lncRNA from 1 species
CACCCGGCUGCAUCACUGACCCCAAAUCGAAUGCACCAGGAACUGUUAGUGUCCGGCAUGCUGUAGUUCAGAAGCGCCAAGAACUCACGGCAGGAAAUGCUGUUUCAGGCAUAUUCCUUGUAAGGCUGCCUUCCUCACCCCCAUGUCCCAGGAGCUACUGGUGAAGGAGGACCCUGUAAGACAUGAGCCUGGAGUCCUAGGUGGUGACAAUAGAGGUCCUUUCUGAGCUGCUGCCUCUGUGUGGACCUCCACUCUGCCUGCAGUGUCAGACGCCAGCUACAUGAUCCCCAAAGGACUUUCUACCGUAAUAUCCGUUGCCCCAGUUCCUAACUGCCUACAUUCUAGAACAUUCUAGAACCCAGUGCUUUCUGUGCUUGAGGCUGUUUUGUAAAGAAGCUUAAACCUGUGCUAAAUUCUUGGAUAAAUAUCUUUACUGUCAACCUCUACUUCUGGGAAAUACGCCCUUCCCUUUGCUUUUCUAAGCUUUAAAUAUCGAAUGAAAUGUGUCCCUACGAUCUCUAUUUUGAUCUCUAUUAAAGAAAGCGUUUUUAAAUGACCCAAAAUAAACAACUUUCACCAAGUGACA